GGGGGUAUAGCUCAGUUGGCUAGAGCACCUGCUUUGCAAGCAGGGGAUCGUCGGUUCGACUCCGACUAUCUCCA
rnacentral:tRNA from 1 species